GAUGAACGCUGGCGGCGUGCCUAAUACAUGCAAGUCGAGCGAACGGACGAGAAGCUUGCUUUUCUGAUGUUAGCGGCGGACGGGUGAGUAACACGUGGAUAACCUACCUAUAAGACUGGGAUAACUUCGGGAAACCGGAGCUAAUACCGGAUAAUAUUUUGAACCGCAUGGUUCAAAAGUGAAAGACGGUCUUGCUGUCACUUAUAGAUGGAUCCGCGCUGCAUUAGCUAGUUGGUAAGGUAACGGCUUACCAAGGCAACGAUGCAUAGCCGACCUGAGAGGGUGAUCGGCCACACUGGAACUGAGACACGGUCCAGACUCCUACGGGAGGCAGCAGUAGGGAAUCUUCCGCAAAGGGCGAAAGCCUGACGGAGCAACGCCGCGUGAGUGAUGAAGGUCUUCGGAUCGUAAAACUCUGUUAUUAGGGAAGAACAUAUGUGUAAGUAACUGUGCACAUCUUGACGGUACCUAAUCAGAAAGCCAUGGCUAACUACGUG
rnacentral:rRNA from 1 species